UCCUACGGGGGGCAGCAGUGAGGAAUAUUGGUCAAUGGGCGCGAGCCUGAACCAGCCAAGUCGCGUGAGGGAAGACGGUCCUAUGGAUUGUAAACCUCUUUUGUCGGGGAGCAAAAGACGCCACGUGUGGCGUUCCGAGAGUACCCGAAGAAAAAGCAUCGGCUAACUCCGUGCCAGCAGCCGCGGUAAUACGGAGGAUGCGAGCGUUAUCCGGAUUUAUUGGGUUUAAAGGGUGCGCAGGCGGAGGUGCAAGUCAGCGGUCAAAUUGCGGGGCUCAACCCCGUCGAGCCGUUGAAACCGGCAGA
rnacentral:rRNA from 1 species